CACAUAGCAGUAAGACCCUCUGCAGCAAAACCACAGACUAUUUCAACUACAAAUGAUGGUAUUCAGUUGUUCUUUUAGCUUUCGUUGAUUACAGAUAUAUAUUUAUGUACAUCAAUGUUGAAGCGCCGGGCCGAUGUAAUGACACCAAAAUUUUUGAAAGUUCUUCAUUAAAAGAAAUUUCUCUAAAGUUCAAUUUUAAGAAAUAUUUAUAAAACCAUAAAUGAAAUACGUGUUCUGGCUCUGGCAAUCGAUGAAAUCAUAUCCUUACAAUGUAACUGCAGAACAACACAUCAACGAUUUUAAUUACGAGCUAUCAAAAGCAAGAAGACGUAUUGAAAAUGCUUUUGGUCAUUUGCAAUAGACAACAACAUUAAAAAUGCAGUGACAAUUAUAAAAUGCAUUUGUGUAAUACACAAUUUUUUAAAUCAAUACAAUGACAAAAUUAAUCUAAAGUGGCAAACUAGCCAACUACAAUAUGAAAGGAGGAACAACAAAAGACACAGUCGGAGUACCGAGAUGUCAUCGGUGACCACGAUUUUAAGGCUCAAGAAAUACGAACAGCUAUUCCGUAUUUUAUUAAUUCACGUUCUAACUCAAGAGGAAGUGGUGAUUGUGGUAUUGGUGUUGGUGAUGGCAAUGGUGUUGGUGUAAGCGGCGUUAAUGGUGAU